rnacentral:rRNA from 1 species
AACGAACGCUGGCGGCAUGCCUAACACAUGCAAGUCGAACGAGACCUUCGGGUCUAGUGGCGCACGGGUGCGUAACGCGUGGGAACCUGCCCUUAGGUUCGGAAUAACUCCCCGAAAGGGGUGCUAAUACCGGAUAAUGUCUUCGGACCAAAGAUUUAUCGCCUUUGGAUGGGCCCGCGUUGGAUUAGCUAGUUGGUAGGUUAAAAGCCUACCAAGGCGACGAUCCAUAGCUGGUCUGAGAGGAUGAUCAGCCACACUGGGACUGAGACACGGCCCAGACUCCUACGGGAGGCAGCAGUGGGGAAUAUUGGACAAUGGGCGAAAGCCUGAUCCAGCAAUGCCGCGUGAGUGAUGAAGGCCUUAGGGUUGUAAAGCUCUUUUACCCGGGAUGAUAAUGACAGUACCGGGAGAAUAAGCUCCGGCUAACUCCGUA